rnacentral:tRNA from 1 species
AGUACUUACAAAAGCCGACUUCGGACUGAAAAUCCGUGUGUCGGUGGUUCAAAUCCACUCCUGCCCA